CCUACGGGAGGCAGCAGUAGGGAAUCUUCCACAAUGGGCGCAAGCCUGAUGGAGCAACACCGCGUGAGUGAUGAAGGGCUUCGGCUCGUAAAGCUCUGUUGUUGGGGAAGAACGUGCGUGAACGUAACUGUUCACGCAGUGACGGUAUCCAACCAGAAAGUCACGGCUAACUACGUGCCAGCAGCCGCGGUAAUACGUAGGUGGCAAGCAUUAUCCGGAUUUAUUGGGCGUAAAGCGAGCGCAGGCGGUUGCUUAGGUCUGAUGGGAAAGCCUUCGGCGUAACCGCAGAAGUGCAUUGGAAACCGGGCGACUUGAGUGCAGAAGAGGAAAGUGGAAUUCCAUGUGUAGCGGUGAAAUGCGUAGAUAUAUGGAAGAACACCAGUGGCGAAGGCGGCUUUCUGGUCUGCAACUGACGCUGAGGCGCGAAAGCGUGGGUAUCGAACAGGAUUAGAUACCCUAGUAGUC
rnacentral:rRNA from 1 species